AAGCUCCUCCUUGCGGGCUUCACUGGACUCUUAGCCGAAGCGGAGCGUCCACUUUGAGGACGAAGGCGACGGAGGCAACACUGGUUAUUAUCUCACUGAAAAGGAUGCAGUGGAGAUGAAGGGACCAGACAAUUAGUACAUUUGAUGGAGGAAAAAUCAAAACAAGAACAGUCUAUAAAGACAUUGUUUUCUGUUAUACCUAUUAAGACCAAAUUGGAAAUUAUCACUGAAGAGAGGAGUCAUACAGAAGAUUUAUAUAGUGGAGUAUUGAUUCUGACUUUUUAUCAAGAAUGAUUAUACUACUCAGAUUCUUAGUUAUGCAAACAAUGGGUUGAAAUUUAAACUAAAAGAUCUUUUCAAAGACUUAAAAGGUUACAAAGCACUGAAAUACUUAGAACUAUUCUAAGGAAGGAACAAUGCAAAAAGAGCAAAAACAUCCAUUCUGAGUAUAAUAAUCUUGUAACAAUGAUACAGAUCAUAAAGAAAUGUUAACUUCUAGAAGUGUCCCAGUCAGUACUUUCAAGAAGUUUUCAUACUCUGCAUGUAAUUAUUGAUAUAAAAAGCCUGUUUUUCCUAA